CAUUUUCCUGUAGCAAUAUAGGGAAGUGGGAGUGGCGCAAGGGUGCGUAACACGUGGAUCAUCUACCGAGAAGUUCUGAAUAAUCCCGAGAAAUCGGGACUAAUGCGGGAUGUGGCCGGAAGGCUAAAGCUGGGGACCGUAAGGCCUGGCGCUUCUUGAUGAGUCCGCGGCCUAUCAGCUAGUUGGCGGGGUAACGGCCCACCAAGGCUAAGACGGGUAGCUGGUCUGAGAGGACGACCAGCCUCACUGGAACUGAGACACGGUCCAGACACCUACGGGUGGCAGCAGUCGAGAAUUUUUCUCAAUGGGGGAAACUCUGAAGGAGCGACGCCGCGUGGGGGAUGAAGGGCUUCGGCCCGUAAACCCCUGUCAUUUGCGAACAAAUGUCAUGGUUGAACAUUCCAUGGCUUGAUUGUAGCGAAAGAGGAAGGGACGGCUAACUCUGUGCCAGCAGCCGCGGUAAUACAGAGGUCCCAAGCGUUGUUCGGAUUCACUGGGCGUAAAGGGUGCGCAGGUGGGUUUGCAAGUUCGAUGUGAAAGCCCCGGGCUUAACCCGGGAAUGGCAUUGGAUACUGCAGAUCUGGAGGAUCGGAGGGGGGACUGGAAUUCUUGGUGUAGCAGUGAAAUGCGU
rnacentral:rRNA from 1 species